rnacentral:rRNA from 1 species
CACAUGCAAGUCGAACGAUGAAGCCCAGCUUGCUGGGUGGAUUAGUGGCGAACGGGUGAGUAACACGUGAGCAACCUGCCCCUGACUCUGGGAUAAGCGCUGGAAACGGCGUCUAAUACUGGAUAUGUCCCGUCACCGCAUGGUGUGCGGGUGGAAAGAUUUUUCGGUUGGGGAUGGGCUCGCGGCCUAUCAGCUUGUUGGUGAGGUAAUGGCUCACCAAGGCGUCGACGGGUAGCCGGCCUGAGAGGGUGACCGGCCACACUGGGACUGAGACACGGCCCAGACUCCUACGGGAGGCAGCAGUGGGGAAUAUUGCACAAUGGGCGGAAGCCUGAUGCAGCAACGCCGCGUGAGGGAUGACGGCCUUCGGGUUGUAAACCUCUUUUAGCAGGGAAGAAGCGAAAGUGACGGUACCUGCAGAAAAAGCACCGGCUAACUACGUGCCAGCA